rnacentral:rRNA from 1 species
GACGAACGCUGGCGGCGUGCUUAACACAUGCAAGUCGAACGGAAAGGCCCUGCUUUUGUGGGGAGCUCGAGUGGCGAACGGGUGAGUAACACGUGAGUAACCUGCCCUUGACUUUGGGAUAACUUCAGGAAACUGGGGCUAAUACCGGAUAGGAGCUCCUGCUGCUUGGUGGGGGUUGGAAAGUUUCGGCGGUUGGGGAUGGACUCGCGGCUUAUCAGCUUGUUGGUGGGGUAGUGGCUUACCAAGGCUUUGACGGGUAGCCGGCCUGUGAGGGUGACCGGCCACAUUGGGACUGAGAUACGGCCCAGACUCCUACGGGAGGCAGCAGUGGGGAAUAUUGCACAAUGGGCGGAAGCCUGAUGAAGAAAAGCCGCGUGCGGGAUGACGGCCUUCGGGUUGUAAACCGCUUUCGCCUGUGACGAAGCGUGAGUGACGGUAAUGGGUAAAGAAGCACCGGCUAACUACGUG